GUCGGGAUACCCAAAUCGUCAAGUUCGGAGGGUGGUUUCCUACCAUUGCAGAUAAUCUGUUGAAACAUCAUUGUUGAUCUUUUUUUAUUUUUGAACAAGUAGACUACACAAGUAUUUUUUACGCAUGCAUGUGGCGUGUAUGCACCAGGUUACAAAUGCUGAAUGCACUAAUUGAUUUUCUGCCAGCAAAUGACAAGAGUAGAUCAUGCGUAAAGCCGGGAUUAUUUUGUUUUUGGGGAGGGGGCCAAAAUUGCCCAAUUGCAUGACAAUUAUCAAAGGUUCAGCCAAAAACAAUUAUAUUCAAAAGAUAUUCAUUUCCAUUUAAUUUAAAAAAAAAUCACUUAAUUCUAAGUCUAAUGACGAUUCGAUUACAAUUUAUAGUGGCCUGUUGCAUUCGAUGCUCGAACUUUAUAGAUUUGCAGUAAAUGAGAAAACU
rnacentral:lncRNA from 1 species